UCAGCUGGAGGAAGCGGAGUAGGAAGCAGCCGCGAUGUCCUUUUGUGUCCUACAAGCAGCCAGCGGCGCCGCCGAGUGAGGGGGGACGCAGCGCGGCGGGGCGGUGCGGCCGGAGGAGGCGGCCCCCGCUCACCCCGGCGCUCCGGGCCGCUCGGCCCCCAUGCCUGCCCGCCCGCCCUGCCGGAGCCCAAGACUGGUGCUUGCCCGGGGUGAGUCAGGGCUCUCCUGUCAUCUGGGCCCCCUCCGGGCUCUGGGAGGCCGCCACUGGAGCCCUGCCUCUUCCUGGCAGGGAGCAUCGAGUACAGCUGUCCGGCCUCCAAUGAGUGUGAGAUCACCAAGCGGAGACGCAAGGCCUGUCAGGCCUGCCGCUUCACCAAGUGCCUGCGGGUGGGCAUGCUCAAGGAGGGUGUGCGUCUGGACCGAGUCCGCGGUGGCCGACAGAAGUACAAGCGGCGGCCAGAGGUGGACCCAUUGCCUUUCCCAGGCCCCUUCCCUGCUGGUCCUCUGGCAGUAGCUGGAGGACCCCGGAAGACAGCCCCAGUUAACGCCCUGGUGUCUCAUCUGCUGGUGGUUGAACCUGAGAAGCUGUACGCCAUGCCUGACCCAGCAAGCCCUGAUGGACACCUCCCUGCUGUGGCCACUCUCUGUGAUCUUUUUGAUAGAGAGAUAGUGGUCACCAUCAGCUGGGCCAAGAGCAUC
rnacentral:lncRNA from 1 species